rnacentral:misc_RNA from 1 species
UUUCCGUAGGUGAACCUGCGGAAGGAUCAUUAAAGAGAUCAUGCCCUCACGGGUAGACCUCCCACCCUUUGUUUACAAUACCUUUGUUGCUUUGGCGGGCCCGUUUGGCCCCGCGCUGAACAACCGGCCCCGGCUGGUCAGUGCCCGCCAGAGAACCGAAAACUCUGAAUUAAAUGUCGUCUGAGUACUAUGUAAUAGUUAAAACUUUCAACAACGGAUCUCUUGGUUCUGGCAUCGAUGAGGAACGCAGC